rnacentral:rRNA from 1 species
UGCGUAGGCGGAAGAUUAAGUCAGUGAUGAAAUCCUGCAGCUCAACUGUAGAACUGUCAUUGAUACUGAUUUUCUUGAAUACAGUUGAGGUAGGCGGAAUAUGUAAUGUAGCGGUGAAAUGCUUAGAUAUUACAUAGAACACCAAUUGCGAAGGCAGCUUACUAAACUGUGAUUGACGCUGAGGCACGAAAGCGUGGGGAGCGAACAGGAUUAGAUACCCUGGUAUUCC